UGCAAGCCCUGGCAUUGCUGUGAGUUUGGAUACAUUGGCGCAGUUGCUCACGGUAGGAUGCCAGCUGCACUAGUGUAAUGAAGGUCACGGAAGUGCUGCCAUUCAUGAGUGCAACACCACAACAAGCCUUGCAGGGUCCUGCUCUAAGAGUAAUGGAUAACAGGUAGGAAAAUUCCUCUCCCGAUUUUCCUGCCUUUCACAAAAACAGCUCCACUCCGAGUCUUCAGUGUAUCCCAGGAUUGCAACGCAGA